rnacentral:rRNA from 1 species
GACGAACGCUGGCGGCGUGCCUAAUACAUGCAAGUCGAACGAGAGCGACCGGUGCUUGCACUGGUCAAUCUAGUGGCGAACGGGUGAGUAACACGUGGGUAACCUGCCCAUCAGAGGGGGAUAACAUCCGGAAACGGAUGCUAAAACCGCAUAGGUCUUCGAGCCGCAUGGCUUGAAGAGGAAAAGAGGCGCAAGCUUCUGCUGAUGGAUGGACCCGCGGUGCAUUAGCUUGUUGGUGAGGUAACGGCUCACCAAGGCCGUGAUGCAUAGCCGACCUGAGAGGGUGAUCGGCCACAUUGGGACUGAGACACGGCCCAAACUCCUACGGGAGGCAGCAGUAGGGAAUCUUCCGCAAUGGACGCAAGUCUGACGGAGCAACGCCGCGUGAGUGAAGAAGGUUUUCGGAUCGUAAAACUCUGUUGUUAGAGAAGAACAAGUGCUAGAGUAACUGUUAGCGCCUUGACGGUAUCUAACUAGAAAGCCCCG